UACGUAGGGUCCGAGCGUUGUCCGGAUUUAUUGGGCGUAAAGAGCUCGUAGGCGGUUCCGUAAGUCAGAUGUGAAAACUCAGGGCUCAACCCGGAGACGCCAUCUGAUACUGCGGUGACUGGAGUCUGGUAGGGGAACACGGAAUUCCUGGUGUAGCGGUGAAAUGCGCAGAUAUCAGGAGGAACACCGAUGGCGAAGGCAGUGUUCUGGGCCAGUACUGACGCUGAGGAGCGAAAGCGUGGGGAUCAAACAGG
rnacentral:rRNA from 1 species